ACUGGCAGAGAAGAUUUGGCAAAUUUGUCACAUACUCAGCGCUGCUGCUCAUCCCACAAAUGCAUGUUCUUUACAAAUGGGGAAUCAUUUGAAAGGGAACUAAACAGGCUUUCCAACGGUAUAAGAUUCAUUGCCAAAAAGCAGUGUUACCACAGAGAAACCAUCUAACAAACACAAAG